rfam:Pseudoalteromonas sp. JW1 Pseudoalteromonas_sp_JW1_S34, whole genome shotgun sequence.
GUAACGUCGUGUUAUCCAGAUCGGUUCGUAUCAGUUAGUUUGCUAAGAUAAUCGGGAAGUUGGUGCCAAUCAUGGGACUGAGUGAAAUCCAACACUGCCCCCGCAACGGUGAUGCCUAAAAGGCUAAGUCCGGAGACCGGCCUUGAAGUCGACUUACUG